UAAUCGCUGUAUACCGUAGACAGCAGGUGUGCGUUUGCACUUAAUUUCCUGCCGAGGACUGAUUUUAUGUUAUUUCUGCCCCCGCAAAGUCUAUGCGGGGGUUGUUUUUUUG
rnacentral:sRNA from 1 species